rnacentral:rRNA from 1 species
GACGAACGCUGGCGGCGUGCCUAAUACAUGCAAGUCGAGCGAAGUUUUUCUGGUGCUUGCACUAGAAAAACUUAGCGGCGAACGGGUGAGUAACACGUAAAGAACCUGCCUCAUAGACUGGGACAACUAUUGGAAACGAUAGCUAAACCGGAUAACAGUAUUUCUCGCAUGAGCGAUAUUUAAAAGUUGGUUAUGCUAACACUAUGAGAUGGCUUUGCGGUGCAUUAGCUAGUUGGUGGGGUAAAGGCCCACCAAGGCGACGAUGCAUAGCCGACCUGAGAGGGUGAUCGGCCACACUGGGACUGAGACACGGCCCAGACUCCUACGGGAGGCAGCAGUAGGGAAUCUUCCGCAAUGGGCGAAAGCCUGACGGAGCAACGCCGCGUGAGUGAAGAAGGAUUUCGGUUCGUAAAGCUCUGUUGUUAGGGAAGAAUGGAUAUGUAGUAACUAUACAUGUAAGAGACGGUACCUAACCAGAAAGCCACGGCUAACUACGUG